UUCGGCCACGGGGCGCAGCAGUGGGGAAUAUUGCACAAUGGGGGAAACCCUGAUGCAGCAACGCCGCGUGAGUGAAGAAGUCAUUCGGUAUGUAAAGCUCUAUCAGCAGGGAAGAAAAUGACGGUACCUGACUAAGAAGCCCCGGCUAAAUACGUGCCAGCAGCCGCGGUAAUACGUAUGGGGCAUGCGUUAUCCGGAUUUACUGGGUGUAAAGGGAGUGCAGGCGGCUUGGCAAGUCUGAUGUGAAAGGCUGGGGCUCAAC
rnacentral:rRNA from 1 species